AUUACUACCAGGCCGACCUCUUGAACUAAUACAUCAAUUUUAUUACCAGGCCAAGAGGUUUGCCCUGGUAGUAAAAUUGAUGUAUGAGUUCAAGAGGUCAGCCCAGUAGUAAU
rnacentral:pre_miRNA from 1 species